UCACUGGCAACAUCUGGGAUGCUGUUCCAGCCUGCCAAAAUCUUUUGGAUUUUGAUUCUGUCACCCAUUGUAGGAUAAAUGUUUCUAAUGGCUCCUCGGAGACCUAGUGUUGGACAAGAAUGAGUAGAGCGGCCGCUUGUCUGAUCAUCUGAGACCUAGCAGAGCAGGAGGCAAUCGCCGAGUUCGCAAGCAGGGAGGCAAGAGGAAGGACGAUUCCAGCAAGCAUUAAUAACCACAAGGUGCAAAACAAAAACUACAGCAACAAUGACAUGGUCUGGUGUGAAGAUGUGGUGUGAAC